UACUUUGUUUAGAGAUGUCAAUGUUAUGGAGUCCCAGAGCAAGUUUAUAGAGUUUGUGCUUCUUCCUUUAUUCCAGGCGUUAAACCAGUUGUACCCGCAGAUGAAGGAAUUAGCUGUUGAGCCACUAAACAUUGCUAAGCAGUACUAUGAA